rnacentral:rRNA from 1 species
UACAGAGGUCCCAAGCGUUGUUCGGAUUCACUGGGCGUAAAGGGUGCGUAGGCGGUUGGGUAAGUCUGGCGUGAAAUCUCCGAGCCUAACUCGGAAACUGCGUCGGAUACUAUUCAACUCGAGGAAUGGAGGGGAGACUGGAAUUCUCGGUGUAGCAGUGAAAUGCGUAGAUAUCGAGAGGAACACCAGUGGCGAAGGCGAGUCUCUGGACAUUUCCUGACGCUGAGGCACGAAAGCCAGGGGAGCAAACGGG